GAUGAACGCUAGCUACAGGCUUAACACAUGCAAGUCGAGGGGCAGCAUGGUCUUAGCUUGCUAAGGCUGAUGGCGACCGGCGCACGGGUGAGUAACACGUAUCCAACCUGCCGUCUACUCUUGGCCAGCCUUCUGAAAGGAAGAUUAAUCCAGGAUGGGAUCAUGAGUUCACAUGUCCGCAUGAUUAAAGGUAUUUUCCGGUAGACGAUGGGGAUGCGUUCCAUUAGAUAGUAGGCGGGGUAACGGCCCACCUAGUCAACGAUGGAUAGGGGUUCUGAGAGGAAGGUCCCCCACAUUGGAACUGAGACACGGUCCAAACUCCUACGGGAGGCAGCAGUGAGGAAUAUUGGUCAAUGGGCGAUGGCCUGAACCAGCCAAGUAGCGUGAAGGAUGACUGCCCUAUGGGUUGUAAACUUCUUUUAUAAAGGAAUAAAGUCGGGUAUGCAUACC
rnacentral:rRNA from 1 species